UCUCAGACAUGGGGUUGCCUCCUCAAAAAAGAGAAGUAUCAGUGACUUCAUAAAGUCCAAGAAGAAUUUUGGUAGAAGUUAUACAGGCAACACACAUGUUUUAUGGGCACAAGUGGGCAGACUGACAUACAGUGUCUGCAUCAUGCAAUGGGACACUGUGCUUGGUGAAGGCAUCCCCAAGCCUGCUGUACACUUGCAGCCUGCAGUGAAACACCAGCACAUUCAGUUUGGUCUUGGAUGCUGUAGGAAGGUGAAAGCCUCAUGCAUGAGGGAAAUCAGUGCCACGAUACGAAAUGGAGCACAACUUUGUUGAUCUGCCAGCAUACCAGGGAAAUUAAGCCACAUCCAGCUCAUCUUCUGGGCACUUUUAGACUUUUAUCCCACCAGAAGACAAACAGCAAAGGUCACUGAAGCUGCUCUCUGAUCCAACUGUGCUACAUUGUGACCUGAAUGCUCUGAUGGUGGUAAGGCCUUCAGCUGUCUCAGAGAAGUGACAGAGUAAAGGUAGCUGGGUGCUGUCAUCAAGCUCCUGGAGGUCCCUGGGAGUAUGAAAAAGAAAAAGCAGCCAUUACAAUGUAAACACUUCUUUCUGUAGAAAGUUUACUGCAUGACAGACAAGAAUACACACUUUAUGUAUUGCACAUAUUAUUUCCAGGAUCACACAAAAUGGUAUUAGUGUAGGAAGACACUGACAUGGGAAUAUCACAUUUCUCUUUUGCUACAGGAGCCUUUGAAUCAUCUCCCAGCCUCCUCCCCUAAUCUAGCUUCUGGUCCUAGCUAAGCUUGAAUUUGUUACACAGCCAUAAUGACAUUGUGAUAUCUCUCCUGGAUAAAAACCUUUUGUCCAUUUUAGCCAGAACCUAAUUACCUUUUAUUCUCAAACAUUCAAAUGCAUUAAUACAAUUAAUAUCACUAACUUCAAUUCAAAACAGCUGAUUUUCAGCUUUAUAGCAUGUUAUUUGUGGCUCUCACAUCAGGUGUAAAACAGAGUUUGUGUAUCUGCAAGUUUAUCUAUUUUAUGGCAACUGUAUCAGCUGGCCUAACAAAAAGGAUGCCUUUCCAUAUGAACUUUGCAUCAUUUUGAGUAUCUGUAAGUACUAUGACAUGCUGACCAUAAAAUACAACAGACUAUAGCAGAUCUUCUAUGUGUAGAGUUCACAUUAUCACUUUCACUGAAAUUAGAGAAAGCACUGACAGAAAAAUAAUAUGAAUGAGAAAUUUCCUCAAUUGCUCAGCCAUGGUGUUUUCAAGACCUGCAUGGAGCAAUGAUAUUUAAGUCUAAAAAGUUCCAGCCCCCUGAAACAGGAACAUUUUCCAAACCACAAAUACAUCUUUCUGUAACACUCUGUCACUGGCAUAGCAGCUGGUUGUAUAAACAGAAGAGAGGCCAGAUCACUAGAUAUUUGAACUUUUUAUUACUAUCCUAGUAUGUCUGCACACUGUAUUAGAUAGGCCGGGAGAAAUAACUGCUCCAUGAUGUUGAAUGUUACAGUAUACAGAACUGAAUUUGCUGCUUAUGUUUUGAUGAUGAAUAUGCUGUCUUUCAAAUUUAUGAUGGAAAAUACACACAAGUUUUUGAGAGAUGUAAUGGAAAAUACAACAAAGAAUCAAAGUGCUGCUAGAAAUACUGUAAAUAUUUGCAUUUCUAAAAAUUAGUGAAGCUUAUAUGCCCGGGAAGUACUGCAUGCAAGGGAGUUAUAAAAACCAGCUGAAGAUAUUCCUUUAUCCCAUAUUUCCCAAGACUAUUUUUCUAGAAAUAUAUUUAAUUUGUUAAUUGCUAUCAUGGAUUGAAAGAACACAGUCAACCCUGGAUGUGUCACAAGCAAUUUAAAAAAGUUUAAUUUAAACAGAUUAACAAACAAACAAAAAGGAAAAAAAAAAAAAAAAGAAAAAAGAAGAGCAGUUGCUGAUAUAGAUUUUCCCAGAAAACUGAAAGGGAAUAAUAUGAAUGAGGAAUGAGGUAGCUGUGAACUUGCAGAAGAUCAGCAAUUGCAAAGCAAAUUGCACCUGUAUAUGCUGACCUACAGGGGUGAUUAACUUCUCACUAGCUUGCAUGGCAUGGCUAUCAGUACAGCACGUAGGAAAAGCAGGUUUGGAGACAGAUGGAGACUUCACUUUCACAUAUAAAAUUCCAAAGAGGAACUCCAGUAUUUCCCUGGGGUCUAAUCCAUCAGAUUUUGCCCACUCCCAUAUAUUUUAAGUAAGAAGUUUAAACUGUGUACACUGCUAUGUGUAGCAGGGCAGGGUGACACUCAGAAGACCAUAAUCCAUUUAAGAAUAAAAACCAGUUCUGCUGAUUCCUUAACCACCUUGAGACCUGGUGUACUGCCAUGUACAGCAUUGCUUUGGAAACACAGGGGGCAAAGAACAAGGCUUCUGAAAAAUCUCAGAGAAUUUAAGCAAAUUAUUUCAGAAUUAAGCAUUUUUGUUUUGUGAAUUCUGUUUUUUAGAUUUUUAGAGUUUUCUUAUUAAUAAAUCUUCCCUGGCAAUUCUGAGGAAAGCUGAUGAAAAAAUUAAAGGUUAAAGUGAAGCUAAAUGACUGAUAUGUUACUUUGUGGCCCUCCUGCUCCAUUGAUUUAAGGGAAAUAAAAAACAAGAUUUGCCUCUCUUAACAGGAUGCUACCAAACAGCAGCUGAUGCUUUACCACGUGCAUACUGCAAAGACAGGGCCAGAAGUGACAGUUGCUAAUGAUGGUAGUUUAUUUUGGCCUCCCUGCAGGUCAGCAGGCACCUGGAUGGGUGUUUUGAAGUAGCACAAAAUGGAGUGAAUCCAGCCAGAAAUCUGGCUGAUGAAAUAAAUAAAUAAACCAAUCAUGACUGAUUGAAUUUAAGAAAAAUAAUUCAAUGGCUUGAUUAAGAUAUCUUAUUAAAUAAUGUAAUUAAUUUAGCAGUAGAAGAAUGACUCUAAGAAAUCAUGGCACUCUUUUGGCCAAAACAAUGUACUUUUUGUAGCCAGCAAACCAUUCUGAAUAUUAAAUGUUGCUGUAUGGUGGAAA